rnacentral:rRNA from 1 species
UACGGGGGGAGCAAGCGUUGUUCGGAUUUACUGGGCGUAAAGGGCGCGUAGGCGGCGCCGCAAGUCGACUGUAAAAUCUCCGGGCUUAACCCGGAAAGGUCAGCCGAUACUGCGGGGCUAGAGUGCAGAAGGGGCAACUGGAAUUCUCGGUGUAGCGGUGAAAUGCGUAGAUAUCGAGAGGAACACCUGCGGCGAAGGCGGGUUGCUGGGCUGACACUGACGCUGAGGCGCGAAAGCUAGGGGAGCGAACGGG